ensembl:lncRNA
ACAGCUUUGACGGCGUCACUCAAGCGCAGCGCGGCCGCAGCGGAAUCCUGCGUUUGUCCUGCGCAGCGCGGCCGCAGGAAGCUGCAGCAGGGGGCGUGUCUUAAAGAGGCAGCAGCGGGUUGAUCAGCUGGGUAUGGCAAGCCGUAAGUGCCAUAAAACCACACGGGACACGGGACACGGGACACGGUGUCUUUGUCCCCGCAGGACGACGAACACAGCUCCAGGUACUGUUACUUCAACAUCUGUAACCCGCAGGACGACGAACACAGCUCCAGGUACUGUUACUUCAACAUCUGUAACCCGCAGGACGACGAACACAGCUCCAGGUACUGUUACUUCAACAUCUGUAACCCGCAGGACGACGAACACAGCUCCAGGUACUGUUACUUCAACAUCUGUAAUCCGCAGGACGACGAACACAGCUCCAGGACGACGAACACAGCUCCAGGACGACGAACACAGCUCCAGGACGACGAACACAGCUCCAGGACGACGAACACAGCUCCAGGACGACGAACACAGCUCCAGGACGACGAACACAGCUCCAGGUACUGUUACUUCAACAUCUGUAAUCCGCAGGACGACGAGCACAGCUCCAGGACGACGAGCACAGCUCCAGGACGACGAACACAGCUCCAGGUACUGUUACUUCAACAUCUGUAAUCCAGCCUGCUGGUGUUUUAGUCUCUGCUGUCCAGGAUUUAACGUUAGU